rnacentral:tRNA from 1 species
GAGGGUAUAGCUCAGUGAUAGAGUGUGUGCUUAGCAUGCACGAGGUCCUGGGUUCAGCCCCCAGUACCUCCA